UGGUCGGAUUCACAGAUGUUGGAAUCCAACUCCCUGAACAUCUGCUCAAGAACCCUCACAGGCCACCCACAGAAAACAAGAGGAUUUUUUUUUUCUCCCUCCAGAGGGCUUGAGGAGACUUGGAAGACCCUCUGAAAAUGUUAACAUUCUACAUAAGUGCACAUAGAGAACAAGAAGAUGGUCCAGUUUUUACCCCAUCACAAGGCAGGAAUCCAC